CCAACACUGUGAAGCCAAAGUCAGUUACUGAACAUGGGUGUGCUCUUCCUCUUUAUUUGCAUUUCUGGAAAGGAAGGGGAGAACGGGCAUAAAUAACCAUUGUUAUAUCUGCUCUGACCCGGUAGGCACUAGGCCAAUGGAUGUUUAAAGCAACAGCCCUCUCUCUGUAAGAAACACAUUUUUAUUGCAGCCCAGUCCACACACACACACAUGCAUACACAUAUUUACACAGAGUUCAUGAAAAUGAUGUUAAUCAUUACUACAUGUGAGGCACUCUGAUAUUUUCUAUUUUAUUUCUUAUGUCUGUUUUUUUUUUAAUUUUUUAGAGACAGGUUUUUGCUCCAUCUCCCAGACUAGUAUGCAAUGGUGUGAUCAUAGCUCACUGCAAACUCAAACUCCUGGGCUCGAGCGAUCCUCCUGUGUCAGCCUCCCUAGUAGGUAGAACUACCUGUGUGCGCUGUGCACCAAUACACUCAAUUAAAUUUUAUUUUUUAUCUUUUUUUUUGUAGAUACAGAGAUCAGUACAUUAUCCAGGCUGGUCUCAAGAUCCUGGCAUCAAGGGAUCCUCCCACCUCAGCCUCCCAAAGUGCUGGAUAUAGGCAUGCACCGCCAUGCCCAGCCUGUAUCUUUUUUUUUUUUUUUUUUAACUGAGACUAAGUCUUGCUCUGUCACCCAGGCUGGAGUGCCGUGGCAUAAUCUCAGCUCACUGCAAUCUCUGCCUCCUGGGUUCGAGCAGUUCUCCCAGUCAGCAUCCCAAGUGGCUGGCAUUACAGGCACACACCACCACGCCUGGCUAAUUUAGUGUAUUUUUAGUGGAAAAGGGGUUUUGCCUUAUUGGCCAAGCUACUCUCGAACUCCUGACCGCAAGGGAUCCGUCCCCUCAGCUUCCCAAAGUGCUGGGAUUAAAGGUGUGAGCCAUCACGCCCAACCAAAUUUUUUAAUUGUGGUCUAACAUAUCAUAAUAAAUUCACAAUCCCAAAUGUAAAGCUUGAUGGUUUUUUAAGGGCUCUUUAUUUUAUAACCAACUUUAUUAAGAUAUGAUUUAUAUACCACAGAAUUCACCCAUUUAAAGUGUACACAGCUCAGUAGAUUUUCAUACAUUUCCAGAGUUGUACCAUUAUUAUCACAGUCUAAUUGAGAACAUUUUCAUCACCCCAUAAUAAAAUGUUAUACUCAUUAUCUAUUCUAAAUUUUUUUACAUGCAGUCAUAAUGAAAUGAAAUCUACUUGAUUCAUGGGUCAGAACUGAGAACUGUAAAAUCAGUGCAGCUGUUUCACUGAAAUGUCUCAUUUAUUCCUCACUAGACCUCAAAAGCAGGUGUUAACUAUACCCAGGUCACAGUACCGAGAGGCAGAGAGAUACGUAACGUGUCCAGGGUCACAUACUCAUAAGUGACAGAACUGAAAGUCCAAGCCAGUCCUCCAGGCGCCCUUUAGAGUUCUUCCAGUGGCACUGAGACAGCAAGAGCCACUGUCUGUCCCCGGAAGGGUGAAUGCUGCAGUCACAAAAGCAGGCCCCACGCAUAUCCUCGCACUGCUGGGAGCCACUGGCCAUGGUCAGCAGGGUGAUCUCACUGCGCAAAACUGGUUACAAUCAGAAAUGCUGCCAGACGACCUGUGCUCAGAGCUCAGCAAUGAGAUUCAUAACUGGGCUGAGCUGGGGUGACGCUUAGCACAGCAGGAUUCGGAAGAUGACUUUGAGAAGCAAACUCGUAACAAAAGGCCUUGGGGAAUAAUGCUGCCUCGAAUUCUUUUUUUUUUUUUUUUUCUUCUGUGCCUGGCAGGGAAAGAAUUUUAAGAACAAAAUAACUAUGAUGGACUGCCUUUCUAAUUAGUUUUCUGAGUCGACGUCCGACUUACUGAUUCCCAGUGUUGGGAUCCGAGCAACCCACUGUGGCAGCCUAAAUAGCAGCGGUAAGACUGAUGGUGCUCUUCUGCCCGGGAAUCUCUGGUCUGGCUUCCCUCUUGAGUCCGCAACAAGCGGCUCUGACUUCCCGGAGCUCCAAACUCCGGUCAGUAGGGGAAGCAGUCCCGUUGGCUCUGCAUGAAGACCUGCUGUGCCGAGACGCCGGCAAAACCGCUGCGGCGGCCACAAGAGUCGCGCUGGCGACUCGUGGGGCUCCUCCUCUGGGAAUCGGCUGAUCAGUGAGUGACGAAAAUUCGUCUAAAAGUGUGGUGUCGUCUCGUUCUCUGGGCUUUCACUGGGAGCUACAAUCCUGAGCUGUUAGUGGUCGGCCAUCUUGGAUCGAUCUCUGCUGCCUCGAAUUCUAUAAACGUGCAACAGAUGACCACAUUUCAGAAGCUGCAAACCAUUGCAAGGAUAUAUGGAUAUUUUCACAGCAUUAAACUAUUGUUAUCAAGUGAAACUUAGAGAAUUUCAAUGACAUGCAUCCCAAAUUCCUGCAGAACAAUUGUACAGCAUACUGUAGUGAAGUGCAGAUGAAAAAAACUCCCUACUGGUCGGCAUCUGGCAUCCUGUCUGAGAUGCUCAUGAACACACACUACCAACUUGGAUGCUAGGGAAGAGCUGGAGUUUGCCCAAGAGCUGUGCCAAAGAACCAGAAACCCUACUCCCAGUCUGAACACGGCUGUGCCUUGAACUCAUAGAGACCCAGGCCUUCAAAGAAAACAAACUAAGCUACCCCUGUGGACAGAAGGCCUCUAGACCAGCCCUCCAGGUGCAAGACAGACCCAGAAGCAUUUGAAGAUUAGAGAAGUACCCGGUGAAUCUCCAUGCCAAGGAAGCUUUCUAUCCUCCUAAACUGAAAGAUUACAGGUACUGAACUCAUUAACAGAAGCACCUGGAGAGUCAAACCCUCGCCUGAAAGCCGGGAACGGCUGAUGCGCGCCCCCUGCCGGCUGUUUCGAAAACAAUCAAAUAACGUGAGGCUGGCAGUGUGGACAGGGACGCUUCACAAAGAAACGAGAAAACGGCAGCCAUGCUGAGACUGUGCUGGGUUUGGAAUAUGCAAUUCUGGAGACGAGAGAGAAAAGACAGGAGCAAUUCAAAACGGCCGGUUCCCUAAAGGAAUAUUUGAGAGAGUGGUUCUGGAAUGCAAAUGGUCUUUCAGCUUGAAAAUGUGCAGUGGCUGGUAGAUUGACAGAGCCUGAAUUCAGAACACAAAGAAAAGACGAGAAAUGAAAUGUAGUCCUUGACUAAAAAUAGAAACAGUCACAAAAGCCAUACAUAGACAGACACAUAGAAGAUGUUGACGAAAACAAUAUUUGAGUGCUUACUAGGGGCCAAGCACCAUUCUAAGAGCUUUACCUUUAUUAUCUCAUCUAAUCGUCAUAAUGAUCUCCGAAAUGAUACUAAUUUAUCAGAUGUGGAAAGUAGGGCAUACAGAUGUAAAGCAACUUGUGCAAGACCAAACAGCUAGAAAAUAGCAGAGCUGGGAUAGAUACAGCAAACAAAAGGCAGGUGGAAAAUGGAUUACAAGUUGCCCUUAUCCAAGGUGUUUGCAGUGCAGUGGCGUGUGCCUGUAACCCCAACUCCUUGAGAGGUUGAGCUCAGGAGUUUGAAUCCAGCCUGGGCAACAGAACUAGACCCCUCCCCCCCCGCCCAUCUCUAAAAAACAAAAAAAGUGCCAGGCAUGGUGGCUCACACCUGUUAUCCCAACACUUUAGAAGGCCAAGGUGGGAAGAUCACUUGAGCCCGGGAGUUCAAGACUGGCCUGGACAACAUAGCAAGAUCUCCCCAAUCCACAUCCCUACAAAAUUUUUUUAAAAAUUAGCCAGGCAUGGUGGUGCACCUGCAGCCCCAGCUACUCAGGAGACUGAGGCGGGAGGAUCGCUUGACCCCAGGAUGUUGAGGCUGCAGUGAUCACACCACUGCAUUCAGUCUUGGUGACAGAGUGAGACCCUGUCUCAAAAAUAAAUAAAUAAAUAUGCUUGGGACCAGAAAUAAUUCCAGUUGAGAUUUUUUUAAAUAUAUGAGAUAUAUUCCAAAGACAAAAUUUUAAAAAAGAUAUGUAAUGAGGUAACUCGAAGAUGGAACCCAAGUCUAAAGACAAAAUUUGUUUAUGCUUUAUAUAUAAAUUCUUAUAAACACAGCCUCCAGGUAAUUUUAUACAAUAUUUUAAUAAUGUUGUGCAUGGCCAGGCACGGUGGUUCAUGCCUGUAAUCCCAGCACUUUGGGAGGCCAAGGCGGGUGAUCAUGACAUCAAGAGAUCAAGACCAUCCUGGCCAACAUGAUGAAACCCCGUUUCUACUAAAAACACAAACAUUAGCUGGGCAUGGUAGCGCACACCUGUAAUCCCAGCCACUGGGGAGGCUGAGGCAGGAGAAUCGCUUGAACCAGGGAGUCAGAGGUUGCUGUGAGCAAAGAUCGUGCCACUGCACUCCAGUCUGGCAACAGAGGGAGUAUCUUAAAAAAUAAAUAAUAAAUAAAUAACCUGCCUGACGUAAAGUCUUGAAUACUUUUUGACUGUGAUUUGUCACGUGACGUUAAGUGUGGAAUUUGCUACUUGUGGCAUGAUAUUGCUGCUCAAAAAGCUUUGGAUUUUAGAGCAUUUUUGAUUUUGGAUUUUCAGAUUAGGGAUACUCCACCUGCCUGUACUGCGGGAACAAAUAUGCUGCCUUCCGGCGUGUGGGAAGUGACAGUGGUUUCCAGGAGUGAUGAGGUAUUUGAGCUGCCCGUUGCUCCUUUUUAUAUUCCCAUUCCCCCUGGAACCAAAACAAACAAACCAGCCAAGCAUUUGUAAGGCUGAUGGCUAAGGUGGUGUGUGGCCACAGUAACGAAGUCCAGCCAACUCCCACUCCCGGAACGGGAAUGUCUGACCCCUGCACCAUGAAAAAACAUCACCUCACCUCCUGAGCUGAGUAGCCGCAGAGACAAAGAGGGUAAGGAAGGGAAAGAACCUUAGGCUUGGGGCUAUUUCCUAUAGUUGUGGUUUUUAACAGGAGCUGGCAUUCCUAGGCAGACAAGAAUGCAAAUUGGCCAAGGUACAGAGGCGCCUGAAUCCUGUUCCUCAGACCCCAGGAGCCGCCCGAAGGUCAUAUUUCCCACGUCAAAGAUGCCAUUGUCACUGCUUGCCUAACAGAAGUGGGUGAGUGAAGGGGGCAACGUUCCCUACGGCUGACCUCAGUGUGGCUCUAGUUCCUCCAUGCCUGCUGGAGCAUGGAGCUGAAGAGAUGGAGGGAAAUAACUGCGCAGCUUUUGGAGUCAAUGGCGGGUGUUCUUGCAUUAUGGAGGGGCGCCGAAGACUCCCUGGACCCCAAGUCUCCACCCCAGUUAGAGGGAGGAGUUGAUAAACUGGGGAUGGCUGCAGGGAGUAAGUUUCAACCUGAACACUGAAAAUCGGCCUGGGGAUCUUGGCAGGGCUUUAGCCCUCACAUCUGCCUUCGGGUGAGGGACUUCCAGCUGACCUUCUGACAGUGUCCCCCAGUGUUAUGUAAGGGCAGAGUUAAGCUUUUGGCAGCAGGCAGGAGCACAGAAGUGCCAGGGACAUUCUGUUAACAAAGCACAAAGGGGAGAAGGAAGGAACAGGCCAUUCUUGUCCACCGUGCAGACUGAGCUCCAUUGUGUUGAUCUGACAUGACAGGAUCUGUUUCAUUAAAAAUUCCCUCAUCACCACCAGUGUCAAAGUCAAAUCCCUCCCAAGGCCAGAACCCAGGCCCCACUAUGGAGCCAGGAUUCUGCAGCUCUCCAGUCUGUGGAUGAAGCCUAAAGCUCCAGCGAAAACCCAACCGCCUGGAUCUGCAAGCUGUGGGGAGGGCAGGCCAUUUGGCCACAACCCACCCACUCGAGGAAUCGCUCCUUUCCACUUGUCUGGGCAUAGUGGGAAGGAACGCCUCCAGAAACCAGCAGGGAAGGAGUCUGCGGGGCUCCACCGUGCCGGUGAUUUAUGGAAGCCUUUCAGGGCCAGAAUGACACCAUCCACCUACUUCCUGCUAAUUCAUAUUCUCAGAGCUUUAAAUCAUGGUGACAGCCCCUCCAGGUGCUCUGAUCAGUCAAGGACUUCCAGGACCCCGAGGACCAGGGCACCCCACAGCUGCACUGCAGGUUACGCCCCCACCCGCCCCAAACCCAUCCCAGCUCCUGCUGCUCUAGGCCCUCAGCUCAAUCAGAUAAUCCACGGAGAUGUGACCUUCUUUUCACUGAUUUAGAAGCUCUCUCAACUGAAAAAAUUACAGAAGUUAGAAAAAAUAAUUGACAUUGUGACUCACCCCACCUCCUUCUAUUGCUAAGCUGCAAAGUAAACACCACCUACUGUAAACAGAAUUCACCCUAAAUCACUAAGAUCUUUUGUUUAACAAAUUCUGCGACACCACUGCAAUAUUGCUGGGCAGGAGGAAUUUUCUGAUUGCCCAAAGCAUUUUGAGUGCCCAUUAUUUCCACCCCACCUUUAAAUGUGGGACCAAACCUUUGAAGUAUACUGCCUCUUGCAAAAAAAAAAAAAAAAAAAAAAGGAAGAAAA